UACGGGGGGAGCAAGCGUUGUUCGGAUUUACUGGGCGUAAAGGGCGCGUAGGCGGCCUCUGCAAGUCGACUGUGAAAUCUCCGGGCUUAACCCGGAAAGGUCAGCCGAUACUGCAGGGCUAGAGUGCAGAAGGGGCAACUGGAAUUCCUGGUGUAGCGGUGAAAUGCGCAGAUAUCGGGAGGAACACCGGUGGCGAAGGCGGUUCUCUGGGCCUGUACUGACGCUGAGGAGCGAAAGCGUGGGGAGCGAACAGG
rnacentral:rRNA from 1 species